CCUACGUGAGGCAGCAGUGGGGAAUAUUGCACAAUGGGGGAAACCCUGCUCCAGCGACGCCGCGUGAGUGAAGAAGUAAUUCGUUAUUUAACGCUCUAUCAGCAGGGAAGAAAAUGACGGUACCUGAGUAAGAAGCCACGGCCAACUACGUUCCAGCAGCCGCGGUAACACGUAGGGUGCCAGCGUUAUCCGGAUUUAUUGGGUUUAAAGGGAGCGUAGACGGUAGUGCAAGUCUGGAGUGAAAGGCGGGGGCUCAACCCCCGAACUGCUCUGGAAACUGUACGGCUUGAGUGCAGGAGAGGUAAGUGGAAUGCCGAGUGUAGCGGUGAAAUGCGUAGAUAUUAGGAGGAACACCAGUGGCGAAGGCGGCUUACUGGACUGUAACUGACGUUGAGGCUCGAAAGCGUGGGGAGCAAACAGGAUUAGAUACCCCUGUAGUC
rnacentral:rRNA from 1 species